GACGAACGCUGGCGGCGUGCUUAACACAUGCAAGUCGAACGGAAAGGCCCUGCUUGCAGGGUGCUCGAGUGGCGAACGGGUGAGUAACACGUGGGUGAUUUGCCCCUUACUUUGGGAUAAGCCUGGGAAACUGGGUCUAAUACUGGAUAGGACCAUGCUGUAGGUGGUGUGGUGGAAAGAUUAGUUUCGGUAAGGGAUGAGCUCGCGGCCUAUCAGCUUGUUGGUGGGGUAAUGGCCUACCAAGGCGUCGACGGGUAGCCGGCCUGAGAGGGUGGACGGCCACAUUGGGACUGAGAUACGGCCCAGACUCCUACGGGAGGCAGCAGUGGGGAAUAUUGCACAAUGGGCGCAAGCCUGAUGCAGCGACGCCGCGUGGGGGAUGACGGCCUUCGGGUUGUAAACUCCUUUCAGCCAUGACGAAGCCCUUGUGGUGACGGUAGUGGUAGAAGAAGCACCGGCUAACUACGUG
rnacentral:rRNA from 1 species